UAGUAAUCGCGAAUCAGAAUGUCGCGGUGAAUACGUUCCCGGGCCCUUGUACACACCGCCCGUCACACCAUGAGAGUCGAUAACACCCGAAGCCUGUGAGCUAACCGUAAGGAGGCAGCAGUCGAAGGUGGGGUUGAUGAUUGGGGUGAAGUCGUAACAAGGUAAC
rnacentral:rRNA from 1 species